rnacentral:tRNA from 3 species
GCCGAGAUAGCUCAGUCGGUAGAGCAAUGGACUGAAAAUCCAUGUGUCGGCAGUUCGAUUCUGCCUCUCGGCACCA